AUGCUAGAUUAUUUGGAAGUCUUUUAUAUACUUAGACAAAAAACAUUCAAAAGAUGCAGGGACCGCUGGCGCGUGUCCCUGGACGUAAUCCUAUUCGCCCCCGAGGAGCUGACGGUCAAGACCAAGGAGGGCGUGGUGGAGAUCACCGGCAAGCAUGAGGAGCGGCAGGAUGAGCACGGAUUCAUCUCCCGCUGCUUCACCCGGAAAUACACACUGUCCCCUGGUGUGGACCCCACCCAGGUCUCCUCCUCCCUGUCCCCUGAAGGCACACUGACCGUGGAGGCCCCCCAUGCCCAAGCCAGCCACGCAGUCCAACGAGAUCACCAUCCCUGUCACCUUCGAGUCGCGGGCCCAGCUUGGG